GAGGGCAUAGCUCAGUGGUAGAUUGCAUGCCUAGCAUGCAUGAGGUCCUGGGUUUAAUUCCCAGUCCCUCCA
rnacentral:tRNA from 1 species